rnacentral:rRNA from 1 species
UACGAAGGGGGCUAGCGUUGUUCGGAAUUACUGGGCGUAAAGGGCGCGUAGGCGGUGUGUCAAGUCAGGCGUGAAAGCCCCGGGCUCAACCUGGGAACCGCGCUUGAGACUGGCACGCUCGAGUUCGGGAGAGGAUGGUGGAAUUCCCAGUGUAGAGGUGAAAUUCGUAGAUAUCGGAAGGAACACCGGUGGCGAAAGCGGCUCACUGGACCGGAACUGACGCUGAGGCGCGAAAGCGUGGGGAGCAAACAGG